rnacentral:tRNA from 1 species
AAGGGUAUAGCUCAGUGGUAGAGUGCCUGCUUAGCAUGCAUGAGGUCCUGGGUUCAAUCCCCAGUACCUCCA